rnacentral:lncRNA from 1 species
GUGUGGGAACGGAGCUAUGACUAAUGGCUGCUUUACAUAUAAAUGAGAAGGUUUGUGCUAGGAACUGUAAAAAAAUACAAUCACUCAGCUGACGGGCAGGCUCCUUAUCGUGGAUGCAGGAGAGGGACCACCAGAAAGGCCCCACCAAAAAAAAAAGCACAUCUGGGCAGAGAGUGUCGGAACAGAAGAGCUAUGUUGUCCCUUGCACCUUGAAGUGAUGAGCAUUGGCAGAUCUCCUGAUCUCAGCCUGGGGCUGCUGACGGUUCAGGUCCAUUUCAGAGAGAGAGAGAGAGCAACAUGCAUGGGGUGAACCUCAAAAGAGAAAAUCUCUGAGACAGGCUGUCUAGACAUUGCAGAUGUGGACAGAUGUUGGGUCUGUAAUUUAUAACAACGGCCUCCAGAAGGCAAUUCCAAUUUGUUUCGGUUUUCCCUGUGUAGCCCUGACUAUCCUGAAACUUGCUCUGUAGACUGGGCCAGCCUGCAACUCAGGUAUCCACCUCUGCCUCCCUGGGGCUGGGUUGAAAGGUGUGCUCCACCACUGCCCAGGCAGAUUUGUAAAACCCUGAGCUCUGAGCAUCUAUCUGCUCCUUGAAGACUUUUGUGCCUGGUGCAUUCAACUCUGAUGCCUUCAGAGGUGAGUGGAUUUCCAUUCCAGAGAAUGAAAAAAAUGAGCAGAAACCCUGCUGAACCUGGGGGCCACUGAGAAGGUCAUUUCCCCCCAAGCAACCCCUUGUUAUUUAAGCACUCACAUUCAUCUCCCCAACUCACCCAAAUCCAAAACGCGCAUCCUUUCCCUCUCUGACCUCUCAGACCUACACAGACUUUCAGACACUCCCCACAGGCUACUCCAUUCUGGCCCUAUUUAUCCUCAUCUCCCCAAAGCUCCUGCACCCCGCCUUUCUCCUCCCGACCUCCCCCUCGUUCUAGCCCCAGCUUCCCUCUGCCUCCACUUCACCCUAUUAAGAAACAACCGCCCCACAGAAGCCUCUGCCCCUGGCGGCAGCUCCCUGAGCCCCGCCCGCCCUCCCUCCUCCUGCAACUGCUCCUCUCCCUGACAGAUGCCUCAGAGCCCCGGGCCGCAGUUAAGGUGACGAGAUGCAGCAAUUCUUUAUGAACAUUUCAUUCCUGCUCGCUACACGACGUAAAUUAGAUGGUGUGUUACAUUCGGGCAAUAAGAGAGAUAUGUCACCACGACGCUGGCCCAUUGGAUGGAGAGGGUAAUCCUGCCGUGAAUUUCAUUACUGCUUUUAUAUAGACAGAAUUAGCUCGGUGACAGCGAGCCUGAUUGUCUUUCACUAGGGGUUUGGCGAAGAGCGGAAAGGAUUUCACCCUGAUGUGCACACUACUGAGUGACCCCGCUCACCAGCGGCUCUGCUGAUUGCUUUGCACCUUGCAGACUUCGAUACUGGCUCAGCCUCUUGCCGGCCUCGCUCCCUCCGCUCCCUCUGGGUCUCCAGCCCACCCUUCCCCUGCCUGGCUUUCUCUUGAAGCCAAAGCCAAGAGACCUAACAGAGGAGUCACAAAGGUCACGAAGGGAUGGAUGUCUCUGUGGGGAGGAGCAGGGCGGCAGAGCUAACACCAAAAUAAAACAAAAAUCCUUCAGGGACUAGACUCUCCUGACCGGGUGCUGGGGUCACUCACUCUCACCACACCGGAGAAUGGAUAAGAAAGCCCAUGUCCCUCUCUCUCUAGGCCGGAGCUGAUAAACCCCUUAGGUGUCUCCAGCAGAGACUACUAAGCUUUCCCUGGGCUCCUGUCCCGUGGCCUCCUGUGUCUCUGGAGUGGAUUCCUUUCCGUCCACUUUCUCUUCAUACCUAAUUAAGUCAUCCAGCCCUAUAUUCACC